rnacentral:rRNA from 1 species
GACGAACGCUGGCGGCACGCCUAACACAUGCAAGUCGAGCGGGAUCUUGUGGAACGAAUCUUCGGAAGAGUGAAGCAAGUGAGAGCGGCGGACGGGUGAGUAACGCGUGAGUAACCUGCCCUAUACAGGGGGAUAGCCACUGGAAACGGUGAUUAAUACCCCAUAAGACCCCAGCGCCGCAUGGCGCAGUGGUAAAAACUGAGGUGGUAUAGGAUGGACUCGCGUCUGAUUAGCUAGUUGGUGAGGUAACGGCUCACCAAGGCGACGAUCAGUAACCGGCCUGAGAGGGUGAACGGUCACACUGGAACUGAGACACGGUCCAGACUCCUACGGGAGGCUG